rnacentral:rRNA from 1 species
UACGUAGGGUGCGAGCGUUGUCCGGAAUUACUGGGCGUAAAGAGCUCGUAGGUGGUUUGUCGCGUUGUUCGUGAAAACCGGGGGCUUAACCCUCGGCGUGCGGGCGAUACGGGCAGACUGGAGUACUGCAGGGGAGACUGGAAUUCCUGGUGUAGCGGUGGAAUGCGCAGAUAUCAGGAGGAACACCGGUGGCGAAGGCGGGUCUCUGGGACGGUACUGACGCUGAGACGCGAAAGCGUGGGGAGCGAACAGG